GUGCAGCAGGCGAGAAACCUCCGCAAUACACGAAAGUGUGACGGGGCCAUCCCGAGUGCCGUCCGCUGAGGACGGCUUUUCCCCAGUGUACACAGCUGGGGGAAUAAGGAGAGGGCAAGCCUGGUGUCAGCCGCCGCGGUAAUACCAGCUCUCCGAGUGGUGGGGACGCUUAUUGGGCCUAAAGCAUCCGUAGCCGGCUGGGCAAGUCCUCCGUUAAAUCCAACGAUUCAAUCGUUGGGCUGCGGGGGAUACUGUCCAGCUUGGGGGCGGGAGAGGCCGACGGUAUUCCCCGGGGUAGGGGUGAAAUCCUAUAAUCCCGGGAGGACCACCAGUGGCGAAGGCUGUCGGCUAGAACGCGCCCGACGGUAAGGGAUGGAAAGC
rnacentral:rRNA from 1 species